rnacentral:rRNA from 1 species
GAUGAACGCUGGCGGCGUGCCUAACACAUGCAAGUCGAGCGAUCUUCUUCGGAAGAGAGCGGCGGACGGGUGAGUAACGCGUGGGUAACCUGCCUCAUACACAUGGAUAACAUACCGAAAGGUAUGCUAAUACAAGAUGAUAUAAGAGAUUCGCAUGGAUUUCUUAUCAAAGCUUUUGCGGUAUGAGAUGGACCCGCGUCUGAUUAGCUAGUUGGUAAGGUAAUGGCUUACCAAGGCGACGAUCAGUAGCCGACCUGAGAGGGUGAUCGGCCACAUUGGAACUGAGACACGGUCCAAACUCCUACGGGAGGCAGCAGUGGGGAAUAUUGCACAAUGGGCGAAGGCCUGAUGCAGCAACGCCACGUGAGCGAUGAAGGCCUUCGGGUCGUAAAGCUCUGUCCUCAAGGAAGAUAAUGACGGUACUUGAGGAGGAAGCCCCGGCUAACUACGUGCCAGCAGCCGCCGUAAGAC